rnacentral:lncRNA from 1 species
CAUAUCUAUUUACAUUGCUACUUUUCUGACCAAACAUGGACUCAAGUACUCAUAGCUAUGAUUUGUAAACAUAAAAGAUGGUACUAGACAGUGAACGCUACCUGCUGUUGAUUUUACAGGGAUGCGUUCUUUGACUACGCCAGGCACACCAAGCGUUUGCUUGGCACAUUGUACAGGUUGCUGUCGGAGGCUCUUGGGCUUGGCCCGACCUACCGAACUGACAUAGACUGCAACAAAGGGCAGAUGAUAUUGUUCCACUACUAUCCUCCAUGCCCUGAGCCCGAUCUCGCCAUCGGGACAACCAGGCAUUCCGACACCGGCUUCCUCACCGUGCUCCUUCAGGAUGACAUCGGUGGCCUGCAGGUCCUCCACGACGAUCAGUGGAUUGACGUCCCGCCGACGCCAGGAGCGUUCAUAGUGAACGUCGGUGAUCUCAUGCAGGUAUGUACAGUAUGCUCAUUGUUGAGGUCCCAACUGUUGAUUAUCGCAACAAAUCGGGGAGGUCAUCGUUAGUGUCAGAUCUUAAUCAUCGUUUGUCAUAACUAAGUUUUUGUUGUGUGUAUGCGCAGAUGAUGUCGAACGACAAGUUCAAAAGCGCCGAGCACAGGGUGGUGGCGAAGAAGGCUGGACCGAGGGUCUCGAUGGCGUGCUUUACCAGCCAUUAAGAUUCGACAAGGAUGUAUGGCCCUAUCAGGGAGCUGCUGUCUGAUGAGAAUUCCCCGUUGUACAGGGAAACACUCGCAAAAUAUUACAUCAGGUCAGCCGGACGCUCACACAUCACUCGUGGCAGCCGAGCAGAUAAGAAGAGCCGGCGGCUACACGCCCAGUCGCCCCACCAACCUGUUCCGUGCCACAUCGAUCAAACAAGAACAAGAGCCGAAGUGCCGAACGCACUCGCUGUCCCCCGUCCCGGCCCUGCCGCCGGCCGCAACCAACGCCGCGACACGCGUAACCAUGUCGUCCGCCCCGGCCCCCUCUCCCGCCACCAGCGCCGCCGUCCCCUACGACCGCCUGGCUGAGCUCCGCGCGCUGGACGCGAGCUUCGCGGGCGUUCGUGGCCUCGUCGCGUCCGGCGCCACGAGCGUCCCACGCAUCUUCCGCGUUCCGAACCCCGAACAGCCGCCGCCACAACAGCCCGGCGCUCCCCACCACCACCAGCCGACCUGCAUCCCGACGAUCGACCUCAGCGCGGCGGACCACGACGCGCUGGUGGCGGCCGUGCGGCGCGCCGCGGCGGAGUGGGGGCUCUUCCUGGUGACGGGCCACGGCGUGCCCGCGGAGGUGGCCGCCGCGGCCCUGGGCGCAGCGCGGGCGUUCCACGACGCCGACGGCGGGGAGGGCAGCGAGAAGGCGCGGCUCUACACACGGGACCCGGCCAAGGCGGUCAAGUACAACUGCAACUUCGACUUGUACGAGUCACCUGUGGCCAACUGGCGCGACACGCUCUACCUUCGCCUGGCGCCUGACCCGCCGGCCGACGGCGAGAUGCCGGAGAACUGCCGGUGAGCGCUCUCGUCUCCGCUCACUACCUUGUUUGAUAAUGGUAAUACUAGUAACAUAUUCUCGUGAAUCCUGAUGAGUGAUGACCAACGACCUCACGGGAGGAUAAAUCAGUGAAGUAGAUGGAUUUGGGCACCCAUAUUGUUUUGUGGAAGUUUCAAGUUGCAGCUGAUGCUGGUGAAUAUUUGGAGCUAUGUUUUGCCAUGAUUUUUCACAGAGAACUCCUAUUUCUGUUCUAUUGUUUAAGGCUAGGUAACACUUAGUGCAUCACUAGUACUGUAGUACAGUAUCAACUUAUUAUUGGCAAGCGCUAAGUUGCCUGAUGAAACACUACUUUGUACAGGACUCGCAUAUUUUUCCUCAAACCACUACCUCCGGUAAAAUGUAGACUUCUGAAUUUAUGUCUCAGCGAAGUCAUGACAUGCCUAUCCUCAUGUUUACUUUUGUUCACAUUUUGACUAAAAGGAAGCAUGUCGAUAGUGUGCCAAACUAGACUGGCUAUGUGCUCUGAACGCCACCUGCCACUUGGCACUCGACUCUAUUGCCGUCGGAGAACGGCUGCCCAUUUCUUAAUUUCUCUGUUUCUUCCCCGCAAACACACAAAAGUAAAAAUUCUACACCACAAUCAUAGAUAUUGCCAUGCUGGUGGAGUGUUUCUUUGUAUUAUUGUAUCGAACUUUGUAAGGACAUUUUUUAUUAUGUGUGUAGAGUGGAAAAACAACCUUCCAUCCUCAACGAAAAUCUUGGCUAUUUUUGACCGGGGACGGUUUAGUCCGGAUCUAAAUUUCGUAAUCCGACAUCAACCGGAACUAAAGCCCUCGGAGGCUUUAGUCCGGGUUUGUAAGAUCAACCGGGACUAAAGGAUCACUUUUAGUCCCGGUUAGUGUUACCAACCACGACUAAAGGGUCUCCACGAGUUACUAUAAAAGGAUUGCAUCUCCUACUUAGUUAGUUUUUCUUCACACGUAUAUUUCGCGUGAAAAAUCGUGUGACUUGUGACAGCGAUGUGUGCGUGUUGUGGGAGCCUCUCAGGAUUUUCUAAUAGUUUUUUGGCGCAACUGGGACUACUGCUCGUUUCUCUACCAGCGACAUCGUGGGCUGUAGAAUCUUCAGAUAAACAUAUCUAUUUACAUUGCUACUUUUCUGACCAAACAUGGACUCAAGUACUCAUAGCUAUGAUUUGUAAACAUAAAAGAUGGUACUAGACAGUGAACGCUACCUGCUGUUGAUUUUACAGGGAUGCGUUCUUUGACUACGCCAGGCACACCAAGCGUUUGCUUGGCACAUUGUACAGGUUGCUGUCGGAGGCUCUUGGGCUUGGCCCGACCUACCUAACUGACAUAGACUGCAACAAAGGGCAGAUGAUAUUGUUCCACUACUAUCCUCCAUGCCCUGAGCCCGAUCUCGCCAUCGGGACAACCAGGCAUUCCGACACCGGCUUCCUCACCGUGCUCCUUCAGGAUGACAUCGGUGG